AUUCCAGCUCUAAUAGCGUAUAUUCAAGUUGUUGCAGUUAAAAAGCUCGUAGUUGAAUUUUAAAUCCGGGAAGAAGGUCGCGGCGCAAGUCGCGUACUUUCCCCCCGGAUUUCACCUUCUGGAUACCUGCGUGUCAUUAAUUUGGUGCAUAGGGAUGCCAGGACUGUAACUUUGAAAAAAUUAGAGUGUUUAAAACAGGCUUACGCUUGAAUACAUUAGCAUGGAAUAACGGAAUAGGACUUUGUUUUUAUUUUGUUGGUUUAUAGAGAUAAAGUAAUGAUUAAUAGGGACAGUUGGGGGCAUUAGUAUUCCAUAGUCAGAGGUGAAAUUCUUGGAUUUAUGAAAGACUAACUUCUGCGAAAGCAUUUGUCAAGGAUGUUUUCAUCG
rnacentral:rRNA from 1 species